GCCCCGGUGGUGCAAAGGUUAAGCACUUGGCUGCUAACCAAAAGGCUGGUGGUUCAAACCCAGCCAGUGGCU
rnacentral:tRNA from 1 species